rnacentral:rRNA from 1 species
AUGGUGCCCAGUUAUAGCAAUCUUGCAGAUUACCUGCCCGACGAUGUACAUUAUGAACCCAUGGACGUGCAGAUACAAAGAUACGAGUACAGGAAGCCUCUCGUCAAAGAUGAAAGAUCUCUAUCAACGAUGAUGCGAAGAUUGCAUGAUUGGUACUUGAAAAUCUACAGAGACUCUGGGGGGAGGAGUACUUUGUAUGUGAAAGUUAAAAAGGAGCAUGACUUCGUUGGAAUUGAACUGUUGCCUAUUCCAUUUAAGGAGUUCUAUCAGUUUUUCAAUCAAUUGGCCCUCGAUAAAACAACGGUCGCCUGCUACUGUCUAUUGAAGAUCGCCGAAUUGAAGAAAAGACAAGUCGGUGAUAUUGGGUUCAUUAACACAUAUCUCAUAGAUGCAACUCAGGUUAAAUUUCAUGCCGCAGCUACCGAGGCCAACUUGCUAUGA